rnacentral:rRNA from 1 species
ACGAACGCUGGCGGCGUGGAUAAGGCAUGCAAGUCGAGCGGGAUACACAAGGUAGCAAUAUUUUGUGUGUUCAGCGGCGCAAGGGUGCGUAACACGUGGGUAAUUUGCCAUGAAGUCUGGAAUAACUUGCUGAAAGGCGAGCUAAUGCCGGAUGUGACUUCCGAGGGGCAUCUCUUGGAAUUCAAAGUUGGGGACCGGUAAGGGCCUGGAACGCUUCAUGAUAAGGCCCUAGCGGUCUAUCUAGCUAGUUGGUGAGGUAACGGCUCACCAAGGCUAAGAUCGGAUAGCUGGUCUGAGAGGACGAUCCAGCCACACUGGAACUGAGACACGGUCCAGACACCUACGGGUGGCAGCAGUCGAGAAUUUUCGACAACGGGGCGAAGCCUGAUGGAGCGACGCCGCGUGCGGGAUGAAUGGCUUCGGCCUGUAAACCCCUGUCUAUUGCGAACAAGACCUGGUAUUCAUUAACACUGAAUGAGCUGAUUGUAGCCGGAUGAGGAAGGGACGGCUAACUACUGUGCCAGCAGCCGCGGUAAUACAGUAGGUCCCGAGCGUUAGUUCGGAUUCACUGGGCGUAAAGGGUGCGUCAGGUGGUCUGAGUAAGUCGGAUGUGAAAUCUCCAGGGCUCAACCUGGGAACUUGCAGUUGAAACUACCUGGCUUGAGGAAUUGCAGAGGGGGAUUGGAAUUCACUGGUGUAGCAGUGAAAUGCGUAGAGAUCAGUGGGAACACCAGUGGCGAAGGCAGCCCCUGGGAAAUACCUGACGCUGAGGCACGAAAGCUAGGGGAGCAAACAGGAUUAGAUACCCUGGUAGUCCUACGCCCUAAACGAUGUCACUAUGCUUGCUGUAGAGGCAAGUCUACAGCCUACUUGUGCGGAGCUAACGCGUUAAGUGCAAGCCGCCUGGGAAGUACGGUCGCAAGAUUAAAACUCAAAGAAAUUGACGGGGGCCUGCACAAGCGGUGGAGUAUGUGGCUUAAUUCGAUGCAACGCGAAGAACCUUACCUGGCCUUGACAUGCAAUAGUAGAACCUGGUGAAAGCUGCGGAGGUGCCGCAAGGAACCAGUUGACACAGGUGCUGCAUGGCUGUCGUCAGCUCGUGUCGUGAGAUGUUGGGUUAAGUCCCGCAACGAGCGCAACCCCUGUGUCCUAGUUGCCACUCGAACGAGAGUUCGAGCACUCUAGGAAGACUGCCGGUGACAUAACCGGAGGAAGGUGGGGAUGACGUCAAGUCAGUAUGGCCCUUACGGCCAGGGCUGCACACGUACUACAAUGCCGGUACAAAGGGGAGCGAACCGUCAGGUGGAGCAAAUCCCAGAAAACCGGCUCAGUUCAGAUUGAGUCUGCAACUCGACUCAUGAAGUCGGAAUCGCUAGUAAUGGCGCAUCAGCUACGGCGCGUGAAUACGUUCCCAGGCCUUGUACACACCGCCCGUCACAUCAUGAAGAGUUGCUGUACCAGACAGUAGUCCCCUUAAAGGUGCCGAAGGUAUGGAUGGAUGGGAUGAAG